CGGUAAGGCAGGCUCGGUGGUAGCGGCUGCUCUUCUGAAGGAAACAAGCGCGAGACCGGCCAGGUUCUGCGGACCAGAUCGAGGUGGUGGGUAGCGACGGUCAAGGGGGCGUGGACGGUGGGUGUUGACCGAGUCCAGAAACGCCUGCGAUGUAAUCAACCGGGUUUGCUUCCCGAGCCCUUUCAGUCUCCAGAGGCCUAUGAAGUGAAGCAAAUCGCCGCUGCAUCUCUAAAAGCCACGUUCUUUAUUAAAAAUUUCUUGAUUAAAAAAUUGAGAGACUCCUGGGAAGAACAAAAUAAAGAUCACGUGGGAUACCAUCCAGCAGAGUUUUUGGAUUCUGUCUGUGGACUCUGCUUCUUCAGUAAAUGACCUUUGAGAAAAACUAACUAUUUUCUUGCAACUCUGAAAUCAUGGCUCAUGUAAGUUGGUAUUUUUCUCUAUUUGGAAUGCUGUAAUUUUUUUUCAGGUUAUGUGAACAUUCUUAUUAGUUGUCCUGAAACUUCCAAACAGAUCCCCGUCCAAACAGCUUCCUAGAUGUUCCCAUUCUAGUGAAGGAUGGAGCCAGACAGCCUGGCCCUUCCUGUGUGCCCCUCUCUUGUCCAUCCAUGUCCACGUGUGAAUUGACCAAAUUAUUCAGUCUCCUGUGUGUUCAGUCUUUGUCUAGAGCAGCGAUAAAGCAGAAAUGAAGUCCCUUGAGGGAGACAACUGAUAUGAGAAACUCAGGAUUGGAGAACACUUUAGAGCUGCAGUGUCCAAUAUUAAAAAUAUAAAAUUAGUGCCUUCUUAGCACAGUAGGCCUCAUGUCAGUCUCAUAAAAAGUGUAGAAUAACAUGCAAGGCACGUAAUCUUAAACAUUUUAGUGUCACAUUUUAAAAAGUAAAAACAAAAUGCACAAGUAAUUUUAGUGUUUUAUUUAACCAAAUAUAGCAAAAUAUUAUCAUUUCAAAGUGUAACCAAAAUAAGAAUUAUUGAGAUAUAUUGCAUUCUUUUUUUUUCAUAAAGUCUUCAAUAUCUGGUGUGUAUUUUAUAGCACAUCUAAAUUUUUAUUAGCUACAGUUCAAAUGCUCAGUAACCACGUGUGUCUAAGAUAGCAAGUUAGACAUUGCAGCUUUAGA